rnacentral:rRNA from 1 species
GUGCAAGCGUUAAUCGGAAUUACUGGGCGUAAAGCGUGCGCAGGCGGUUUUGUAAGACUGUCGUGAAAUCCCCGGGCUCAACCUGGGAAUGGCGAUGGUGACUGCAAGGCUAGAGUUUGGCAGAGGGGGGUAGAAUUCCACGUGUAGCAGUGAAAUGCGUAGAUAUGUGGAGGAACACCGAUGGCGAAGGCAGCCCCCUGGGUCAAAACUGACGCUCAUGCACGAAAGCGUGGGGAGCAAACAGGAUUAGAUACCCUGGUAGUCCACGCCCUAAACGAUGUCUACUAGUUGUCGGGUCUUAAUUGACUUGGUAACGCAGCUAACGCGUGAAGUAGACCGCCUGGGGAGUACGGUCGCAAGAUUAAAACUCAAAGGAAUUGACGGGGACCCGCACAAGCGGUGGAUGAUUUGGAUUAAUUCGAUGCAACGCGAAAAACCUUACCUACCCUUGACAUGGCUGGAAUCCCUGAGAGAUUGGGGAAUGCUCGAAAAGAAAACCAGUACACAGUUCUGCAUGGCUGUCGUCACUCGUGUCCUUGAGAUGUUUGGUU